rnacentral:rRNA from 1 species
AUACGGAAGGUCCGGGCGUUAUCCGGAUUUAUUGGGUUUAAAGGGAGCGCAGGCGGAGAUGCAAGCGUGACGUCAAAUUUCGGGGCUCAACCCCGUCUCGCGUCGCGAACUGCGUCCCUUGGUUGCGGGAAGGGGAGGCGGAACUCGUGGUGUAGCGGUGAAAUGCAUAGAUAUCACGAAGAACUCCGAUCGCGAAGGCAGCCUUCCGGCCUGUCAACGACGCUCAUGCUCGAAGGUGCGGGUAUCAAACAGGAUUAGAUACCCUGGUAGUCCGCACAGUAAACGAUGGACACCCGCGGUUUGGCCUGUAUGGCUGAGCCGCCAAGCGAAAGCGUUAAGUGUCCCACCUGGGGAGUACGCCGGCAACGGUGAAACUCAAAUGAAUUGGCGGGG